AUUGAACGCUGGCGGCAGGCCUAACACAUGCAAGUCGAACGAGUGGCGGACGGGUGAGUAAUGUCUGGGAAACUGCCCGAUGGAGGGGGAUAACUACUGGAAACGGUAGCUAAUACCGCAUACUAUCGGAUGUGCCCAUAUGGGAUUAGCUAGUAGGUGGGGUAAAGGCUCACCUAGGCGACGAUCUCUAGCUGGUCUGAGAGGAUGAUCAGCCACACUGGGACUGAGACACGGCCCAGACUCCUACGGGAGGCAGCAGUGGGGAAUAUUGCACAAUGGGCGCAAGCCUGAUGCAGCCAUGCCGCGUGUAUGAAGAAGGCCUUAGGGUUGUAAAGUACUUUCAGCGAGGAGGCGUUACCCGCAGAAGAAGCACCGGCUAACUCCGUGCCAGCCGCCGCGGUAAUAC
rnacentral:rRNA from 1 species